AGACGAUCGCACCGCUUCGCCAUUGCAGUCCGUAGCUCCUUUAUUGCCCCCUGGCCCCGCUCCUCAUGAGCCGCCGCCCGGGAAGACCGGGACCGCCGAAAAGGACUCGUGUUAUGCACGUUAUAGAAACCUAAUCGGUGUUCGUGCCAAGACGCUAAACGUUGGUCGCAUCAAGACAUUUUCUGGGAUGUGCAAUGCCACGUGGUUAAUUUGGCAAUUAGCAGCUCUAAGAUAAUUCAAUCACGGGACGAAUUUGAAUCAGUAGGAAUAGAAUUCCAAUCUUAUGAGAUCUGAAAUUUCUGUGUAAUCAUCGUUUUGAUAUAGAAAGAUGAAAAAAUUUCAUAAUGCCAUCGUUGACGGGAUAUUAAUAAUAUUCAGUAACAUAUGAUUUUGAAUAUUUAUCAAUAAAGAAUAUUUUUUAUUCUA